GGGGCCUGAGCUGGAGAAAACGCACAUUUGAUUUUUGAUAUGCUGCGUUUGAGUUGGGCAAGUUAUCCAGGGAAAUGUCAGAUAGAUGGUGGAACAGUAGGCUGGGGACUAAUUUGCUGUCGAGAGAGGGCAGUGACUGAAGCUGAGCAGCCGGGGAGGUCACACCAAGAAAGACACAGGAUGCCCAGGAUGGGCUCAGAAGGGAACUCCACCAUGAAAGUGAGGAGGAGAUCUGUUGGAGCUGAGGUGACUGGUUCCCAUGUUCUCCCACCCCCUGCAGAAUACAUAUUUAAACACUGGCAGGAGGACUCCUUCUUUGUCUCCCAGUUCCUAAAUGGCUUCAACCCUGUUCUCAUCUGCCACUGUUGCUCGCUCCCAAACAACUUCCCUGUCACUGAUGCCAGUCCUGGGCCCUGGGACCAGUCUGCAAGCUGAGCUGGAGGUGGGGCUGUGGGGUUCAGGCUCUGCACAGUCUUAUCUUGGUGUUGUCAGGGUCACACCCUACUGGAGAGGGAGGGUGCACUCACAUUGUUAGGGAGCAGUGUAAUGCAUAACACAAACACCAUCUUCUAAAACAAAAUCUUCUCCCAGCGCUGAAUCCUCUCCCUGCUACCAGCCCUUCAUCCUUUAGGAAAGCCAUGUGGCAGCUCCAGCUCUCCUACUCUCUCCCACAGAGGGGCUUCCUGUUCUUGGUGGAUCCUGGCAUCCAGACCAAUGUCAUCAAUGGGAGGGCUCAGUUUUCAGCAGCCCCAGUGACCCUGCUAUACCAGCACCCAGGAGGUGGACCUUUGCUGCCCCUCGCCAUCCAAGUCUGCCACUGGCUAGAGGGCAGGGCAGGGGUGAGGAAGGUCCCACUGAAUGAUUUGCAGACACUCACAGCUGCCUCUUCCCUCACUGGUUCCCCCCAUCCCAGCUCAGCCAGACCUCUGGAACCAACAGGCCCAUCUUCCUGCUCAGUGAUGAGAAGUGGGACUGGCUGCUGGCAAAGACCUGGGUGCGCAAUGCUGAGUUCUCCAUGCAUGAGACCCUCACACACCUGCUGCAUGCACACCUGCUCCCCAAGGUCUUCUCAUGGCCACACUGCACCAGCUGCCCCACUCCCACCAGCUCUGCAAGUUUGAUUCCUGUGUUUAGAUGUCCAACCUGCCACCCACCAUGCAGCUGCCACCACCCAUUUCCAAAGGUCAAGCAAGGCCUGGGGGGUUUCAUAGCCACCCUCACCCCAAUCAAUGCUACAUGUGAUGCCAUCAGUGCCCUCUGAAUGCUGACCAAGGAGCCUGGAGAACGAGAGGCCCCUGGGCAUGUACCUAGAUGAGCACUUCACAGAGGAGCCCCCACAGCAGAGCAUCAUCACCUUCCAGAGCUGCCUGGCCCAGAUCUCCAGGGACAUCAGGGAAUGGAACCAGGACCUGGCACUGCCCAACACUUACCUGGACCCCCUCUCUGAUUGAGAACAGCAUCUCCAUCUAAAUCCUCAGAGAAUACAUCCCUGUAUGACAUAGGCCUCUGUGACCACUUCACUUUAGACUAAUUGGCAUCCAGAGAAAAGGACCCCUCAGAAAAACCGGUCCCCAUGUGCCUCUUAUGGGGGCCCCCUCUAAUGGAUGCCCCCUUGUAACUCAUCCCAGUGUCCACACACAUGUGCAUGCACACAUACACUGUUGUGCCCAGAUCACGGAAACCCCAAAGACCACCAAGGAGCCGAUUCCGAUGCAAGCACACGAGGGUCGUUUAUUCAAGCUCGAGCAGGGACUCUCAACUGUCACCGAAGCAGCGGGUCAAGAUUGAGAGUCCCGAAUUUUAAAUCAGCAGGGUUUUUAUUGUGUUUACAGCAAGGUUUGGGGAUUUUCCACUUAGCAGUUACAUGAUUGGUUGACAUUUAGCAAG
ensembl:lncRNA